rnacentral:ncRNA from 1 species
ACCGUGGAAAGAUUUGGUCGAUUGCAACCACGCGAAAAAAUGCUAAAGCA